rnacentral:lncRNA from 1 species
AAGAAAAGUAGAAAAGUCACGUGAAUAAAUAAACUUUCGUUAGAAAUGAAUGAAAAAUAUAACAGAAUAGAAAAUUUACAAGGAUGUCUUUGAUCAAGUUUUUAAAAUUUAAAGGAUGUUUUAAGUUUAGUAACAUAUUAUAAGGAUGAAAUUAAAGUUUGGGUGAAAUAAUAAGGAUGAUUUUGGUAAAGAAUUCAGAUCUAUUAGCUGCCAACAAUAGAUCUAAGCUCCCAUUAGAUAAAUAUCAAACCUUAAAUCAUCAAAUCUUGAGAGUUAACUAUUAUUAGGGACCUCAAAGCUUUCAACCCAUAUCAAAAUCUCUCUGCCUUUGAAUGAUAAGCAUAAGUUUCAUGCUUCAACAAAAUAGAUAACUCUUGCCUAUUUUCUAGCAGAAAUAUGCUCAAAUACACAUUAUUGCAUCGUUUUUUUGACUCCAUCAUCCCCUGAUCGCCUCUUGCAGAUUGAGUCUCAAUGAGACUGAUAUCAUACACUAAGAACGAAAAAGCAGUUGAGAGAACCAAAAGACCAUGCCCCUACUGAAAUUUCUUUUAAAGGUAAGAACUUCAAAUCUUUUUUCAUGUUGUGGUUUAGUCCGGUGCUUUUUUUUCUAGCUGAUUUAGUCUAAUAUUUUGGUGAAUGUUGCCUCUUUAGAAGAACGAGCUUUUGUGUUUUCUUUGAUAAUGGCUGAAAAUCAAUAAAAUUGAUAGUACCUGCAAAAUUGAGCAUCCAGUAAAAAAAGAAUCUGUAACUUAUCUCAAUAUGCUGUUUUCACAACUACAUGAAUUAUUUAAAUCAGAACGAUCAAUUCUGUCAUGUAAAUUCAACUUAUUUCAAAGAAAUCUAUUAAAAGAGGAUUAACGCAAGUUCAAACAACGCCUCUUCUAUCAAAUAUAUCUCAGUUCACCUUUUUAAGCAAAACUAAGUUAAAUUCUAUGACCAAGUCUAUUUCUAACAUUGGCUGCUCCGCCUGAUCAAGUCUCUUGGCCAAAGUAAUUAAGGGUGAUAAAAAAAAAUUUAAAAUUAAAAAAAGAGUGAUGUAAGUUUUAAACACUGAGUAGAGGUGAUAAUUGUAAGAGUAAUAUUAAUGACAUUAAUUUUAAAAUUGUUAAAUUUUACUAUUUACACAAAGAUUUCUGCACCAUAUUUAUAUAAAGAUUCCUACACCAUCACUAUUAUUCCUCCUCCACACUUUUUGUUCCCUCCUCCGCCUGUUCCUUCAGUAUCACCUCUUUCAGAUUCAUCAUUAUUUUCUUCCUCUACAUAACUAUCGCUUAUUUUUCUUUUUUCUCCUCCUUCACUAUCGCUAUUUAUACCGCAACAAAUAUCAUUUUCUCAUUCGACGUCACCACUAGCACCACCAUCUCUCUUUUUAUUAUAAAUAUCACUUUUUCAUGCGUUCUUCUCGAAUCACAUUUUUUUUAGAAAUGCAGCAACUGUUGAAGUUGCAGUAACUAUUGUAACAACUUUGAUAGUUGUUGAAGCAACUCUCCAAGUUGCUGAAUUUGCUGAAUUAUUUUUCAUUCAUUUUUAAAUGAAAUCAAAAAUUUUCUUUUUAAACUUCUCAAAUUUGUUUUAGAAAAUAAUCCAUAAAGAUUAAAAAAGGAAUAAGAACAAAAUGAAAAGAGAAAGAAAAAAAGAAGAAGAGAAGGUGGAAGAAGAGAAAAAUCUAGAGAGAAAAAAAUAAUAAGAAGAAGAUGGGGAGAAAGAAAUUUGGAAGGUGAAAGAAAAAAAAAUAGAAAGAUUAAAGAAAAAAAAUAGAAAGAUUGAAAGAUAAGAAAAUGUGAAAAUUUUAAAAUUUGAAAUUUAGUAGCCGUUUGACCAUCAAAAUUACAAUUUUUUGAAGUUAGAGUUAAAGUUGGAGUUGAAAUUGGAGUUGGAGUUGGAGUUGUGUUUGACCAUGAUUUUUUUGAUUUUUUUUUACUUUUGAUUUUUUUUUUUAAAAUAUGAUUUUAUGUCCCAACUUUUACAAACUAUCAAAAUCACCCAACUAAAAUUUACCAUUAACGAGAAAAGAACACAAUUAACCACUUUUAUAAAAAUAAUUACAUAUACAUGGCCAUAUUUAAUGAAUUUUAAUUAUGACAUAUAUAAUAUUUAUAUUAAUAGCCGUUUUCUCAUAUUUGAAAAAUUUUAAAUAUGGAUGUUAUAUUAACAUAUCACUGCUUCCUAUUUUUUAGGUAACAAAUAUUAUCUUUCAAACAAAUUUAUUUUUUUAGAAAUUUAUUUAAUUUAUUUUCUUUAUUUUUCGUUCCUAAAAAAUAUGAAGUGAUGAAUUGUUAUUAACUUUUAUGAUGCCGCUAAUUUUUUUCUUUAAUUUUCUUAUACAUGAAAGAUUUUACUGUGUGUGAAUAAAUUAUUUCUAUGUAAACAUACUUUGUAUAUUUAUGAUAUAUUAUAUCAAAUACCAUAAAUAUAUAAAUAUGCUUAGUAUGUUUCUUAAUAUUUUGUAUAUUUAUAUAUGUGUAUAUGAUAUAUACAUGGUAUAAACUUUAUAUAUAACAUACGUUGUCUAUUUAUAGUAUGUUUCUUAAUAUUUUGUAUAUUUAUAUAUGUGUAUAUGGUAUACACAUGAUAUAAACUUUAUAUAACAUACUUUGUAUAUUUCUGUUAUAAAUAUAAUACUUUAUAUAUUUAUGGGUAUAAAUAUAAUACUUUGUGUAUAAAGAUACUAAGUAUUAUGCUAUAUAAAGGUAGCAGUUGCAGUUUAAGGUAUAAAUUUGUUAAAUUGAACAUAUUUUUUUUAUGAAAAAUAUGUAUCACCGAUUUAUAUUUUUAGCAUAUAUAUGGUGUAAACUAUUUAUAUUUGAAUAGUAUAAUAAAGAUGUACACAAUAUAAUAUAUAUAAUCAAAUUAAAAAUGAGAAUAAUUUGUGGCAGUGGUAAACUAAUCUGAUACAGCUUUAUUAAUUUCAUAAAUAUAGAAAACGAUUAUCCAUUAUUAAUUACACGACUAUAAUUUCUUAAACGUCUGUAAUACAACAACAAAAUUAUUAUUAUUAUUAUAUUAUAGUAAUUAGGAUCAUUAACAAUAAAAUAAUGUCUUAAAUAAGGGAGAAAAAUAAUGAUGAGAGAGAAAAAGAGAUAUAUUAAUUAGGAUAGCAUUAAGUUUGAAAUUAUAAUUAUCUUAUUCUUUAAAACUGUUAUAGACGUAAUAUUGAAAAAAUAAUGUUAUAAGGAGAGUUUUAUAUAAAAAUUUAAAAGAUUGAGGUUAUAUGUAAUAAUAAUAAAAGUUGAAAUUGGAGUUGGAAAAUUGUGAAAACACCAAAAACCUGUUUUUCCUUUGCAGAAAAAAUUUUCAAAAUUAUUUUUCAAAUUUUCAUGGUCAAACAUCAUAAUUUUCAACUCCGAAAUUUUUUUUCGAAAAAAAAAGAAAAAAAUUUCAUGGCCAAACGGACCCUUAGAGUUGGAAGACUUUUGAAAAAUUUAAAUAGUUAAAAAAAAAAUUAUAUUUUACACUUUAAUUUAUUUUAAUCACUAAUUAAAAGAAAUUUAAUUUGAGUAGAUCAAAAUUGUCAUCAAUUUUAAUUUUAAAAUUUAUUUGUCACCUCACACUUAAUUUUCUCAAGUCUCUUGAAUACAUUACAAAGAGAACUCUAGAAAGAAUUUUCAGCAAGUCUAGCGUCCUUAUCAUCAAAUUAAAAGAUGAAAUGUUGGAAUCGUUGGGAUGUUGGAUGAAGUAUAAAAAAAUAAAAGGGAUAAAUGUUAGGGAGUCACAGUGUUUACCUUUUAUCUACUUGUGUUCAAAUUUUUACAACUAGAAUCUAUUUCAACUAGUAGAUAAAAGAUGACAAUACAGAGGGUGUGUUUGGUACGAAGAAAAAUAUUUAUCAAAAAAUAUUUUCUAAUUUUUUUAUGUUUGGUUGACUUAAAGUUUUUGAAAAAUAAUUUUUAAAUUAGUUUAUUUUUUUCAAUUCUAAGAAAAAUGGCUUUCCUUAAAAAAAGUAAGAAAAAUAUUUUUCAAAACUCUAUUUCAACCUCAUUCUUAAGUUGAAAUAUUCAUAAAACUCUCAAAAUCAUCCAUCACUACUCCGACCUUCAAUCCUCUUUCCCCACCCCACCCCGCCUCCUACCACUUCUAUUAAAAAAAUAUUUUAAAUUUUUUUCUUACCUUACCCCCUAUCCAAAACCCAAAAUUCAAACCUCUAUCUUCUUUCAGGAAAAAAAUUAAUUUUUUUUUAAAAAAUUGAAUUUUCUUUUUAAAAAAUUCAAUUUUUUUUCUUAACUCUCCUACCCAACCCCCUAUCAAUCUCCUCCUAGAUUUAAUUUUUUAAAAUUAAUUUUUUUAAAAAUUUCAAUUUUUUACCCUCACUCCCCUACCUCUACCCCUACCCCCCAAUACUCCCUAUUAAAAAAUAAUAUUUUAAAUUUUUUCUUACCCCACUCUUUCUCUCUUAUCCCCACCCCCAACUAGCCCCCCAACUCCCCCAAAAAAUUAAUCUAUUUUUUUAAAAAAUAAAAUUAUUUUCUUACCUCAUUCUUAUUAUCUAUUUUGCCAACCCCAACUCCCACCUACCAACCCCAUUUCAAUUUUUUUUUUAAUAUUUUUAAUUUAUUUUUUAAAAUAAAUUCAAAACUUUUUUCUUAUUCUAUUCGUUCUUAUUAUUUUUGUUAAAUGUAUACAAAUACUUUUAGAAAACAUAUAUUUAUCCUAUUUGCAUAACAAUCACACAAAUAUAAGUAAGAAAUAAUUUAUUUUUUUAGAAAAUAUUUUUCCACCUUCAUAUCGAACGCACUCUAAAAAAAUAUUUUUUGAGAUCAAAAAUUAUUUUUCAAAAAUAUAUUUUUACGCUUUAACUAAACACUAGAAUGUAUGUUUUGAAAAAUAUUUUUUCAUUCACUAAUUAAACACUAUAAAAUAUUUUUCGAAAAAUAUUUUUCAUCCACCAAAUAAAAAAAAUAAGUAAGAAAUCAACUUAUUUUUCAAAAAAAUAUUUUCUAGGAAAACAUUUUCCUUCGUACCAAACACACCCAGUCUCACUAAUAUUUAUAUUCUUUUUUAUUUAUUAACCUUCGUCCCUGCCAUCUUACCUCCAUCUUUUCAACUUCUCAUCUUUUAACAUAAUGAUGAAGGCGCUAAAUUUAUCUGAAAGUUCUUUCGAAAAAUCUCCUUCUGAUCUAUCCAUGAGAUUACUUCAUCAUGUGGAGCAGCUAGUAUAAGAAAAUGAUCUUUUGUGAGUUUUACUAGAUUUUAGGUGAGAAUCUGAAACGAAGAAGUGGAUCGAUUCUGAAAUUGAAAUUAACACUGUUUUGCUUGAAAUAAAAACAACAGUGAAUGGAGGAGUUAAGAGAAGUUAGCUAAAUUAAAGUGAAUUUAAAGAAGAGAUGAAAUCUUUGACCAAAAUUAUAAACUCAACUAAAAAGCAAAAUUAAUAUUUUUAGACCUCGUGUGUUCUCUUCAUCCUAUAUAUAUUACCUGUUCAUAUUAUUUCACUAUUAUACAGAAAUGUGAAGCAGUUAAUACUUUAUCAAUAUUUAAUAAAAAAAUAAAUAAAUAUGUCUGUUUAACUGUUUCAAUCAUAAUUUUAUUAUAUCAUUUUAAAUUAAUUAUUAUAAGUUAUCUAAUAUUAAAAAUUAAUAAUAUUUAAUAAAAAAUAAAAUAAACAUAAAAUAAUAAUUAACUUUUGAUGUUUUAAAUUAAUUUGACAUCUUAUAUGAGGCUUACUUAAAUUUUUUUUAUAAGUAUCUUUUAUAAUAACGUUGUUUGAUCAAUUCUAAAUAGUUAUAUCAAUUCUAAAUAGUUAUUACUCUCGAAAUUAUAUCAGUGUGACUUAAAUUGAAAUAGAAGAAAAAGUAUUAUAAAUAGAAUAAUUAAAACGUUAAAUUGACUAUCAAUGCCACAAAAAUCUGGACAAAGAGAGUAAACAUAUAUUAUUUGAAAAUUACAUAAAAAACACUAUAAAUUACAAUAGUUAACCACUUAAAAUAUCUAAAAACAUAUUAAAAAUAUAAUUGUUUUUUCAAAUUCUAUUUGUGUCACAUAAAUUGAAACAAAAAAUAACAUAUAACACAAGCCAUCAAUAUCUAUUUAGUAUAUAUAGUAGUCCUAAAUUGGUCGUCUAUUAAUUAUCCAUAUUAUUAUAAAUAAAAACUAGUUUUAGAAAAGCUUUUUAGGGUUAGUAAAAUUAUCCUUUUUAUUUAUAAUUUUUUAAGGGGCAUGUCAUGAAGAAAGCAGACAACUAAUACGAAAGGAAACAAGUAUAAAACGGAUUUUCCUAUUAAAUGAAUUAUAAUUUGUUCGUGUAUUCUUUCAUGAUUUGUUUAAUUACUAAACAUAAUCGAAAAAAGGUAUGUGAUUGUAUUUUUAAUGAAUCAAUCGUUUUUCAUGAAAAGUUAACAUGUUAUUUGAUAUAUGUGAUAAAAAUUUGACUAUUCUUAAAUUAUUAUGAUCAUUUAUCUCAAGUACCAGACGGACGGCAUAAAUACCUAUUUAAGUUUUGGUAAGUUUUGUUAAUGGUCAACUUGGAUUACAUUGGCUAUACAUAUUGGCGUAAUCACCUUGAUGUUGAAUAAAUUACAUUUUCAUUUUUUGAUUUCGACAUUCUUAUCGACUUUUGACUCAUUCUACUUCUAGCAAUAGAUAUAUCCCCUCAAAUUAAAGUUGGGAGGUGUUCUUAACUUUGUGAUUGCACUUUAGCAUUAAUGGUUUACAAUUUUAUAAGGAGGCAAAAAAGAAGCAAAUUGUAAGUGAAAGAAGAGAGAAAAUCCAAAAGGAGACAAGACAAAGGCAAAGACAUUUAUUAUAGUCUUUGGCCAUGUCCCCACUUCAGAAUUUUUUAUUUUAAUUAUCCACUGCAACUCAAAAGUGAGAUUCAAGAACAAGACAACAUAACAUAACAAUGUCAUAAUGUAUUUGUCAGUAGUAAACAUGUCACCACCCUCGUGUCUAUCCUACGUCUGUUGACAAGUAUUCGUUGCCAAGGAAGAUGGGGAUUGAGUAGAUUGUCAAAACUUAAAAAGUUUACUAAAGAAGAUAACAUAUUUUUCUCUUGUGCAAAGUAAAAAUUUUAGUGCAUCGAAAUGUCCUAUAUUUUAUUUAUUUAGACGAAUAGGCAAAUAAAGAAAAACUUUAAAGGUGGAAUUCAUUUGAAAAAGGAAAAAAAGAGAGAAUCCUUAAGUGUCUAAAUAAUUCUUGGAUUUGAUAUUUUAAACUAAGUGGGAUGAAAAUAUAUCCCAGAGAGAUACGUAGAACUCCUCAACAAAGAAAAAAAGGAUGCGAAUAAUUCGAAGACCCUAUAAAAAUUAGGUCCCAAAUUCUGAAAGUCCACUUAGAGAUGGCAAUAAGACACAUAUAAUAAGCAUGGAUAUAGUAAAAGCAAUAUUGUGAAGGGAAAAGGCAUAUUCAGAAAGCAUAAAUAAAUGGUGCAACUUGCUAGCAACCCGAAUUGUCCACGAAGAGUGAACGUGUGCAAGUCCAUAAUCUUGAAGUUAACGUGUACUAGUAUUUGAGAAUCUUGGAUUGAGUUUGGGCUUUCUCGUUUGGUUACAACAAAUACCUAAACUUUCACCUAAAUGAUGAGAAUUUGAUUCUCCACCUUGUAAGCCCCUUCCCAUUUGCAAAAUUAUUCUUCUAUACGAACUUCAUUAUCUCCUCUUGAGUGUCUUUUACAAUUUGCCAAAUUGAAUUACAACUAAAAACAAAAUAUACUUAAUUAAAGAAAAAGAUAAGUGAAAUUAGGAAGAGAGCAAAAUUGGAUAUCAUAUUACUCCAUCAUAUUUCUAUGCAGCUGAAUAACAAAGGCCCAACUUCGUCCCAAGUCCCAAGACUAUUGUUGUAGUAUCAUGGGUUGUCCUUGGCUGAUUCCAGAAGCCAGACACUACUCUUCUUUUUAGAUGCUGCUGGUGGUUACGGAAGAAAAUACAGCCCGAUGAUGCCACAAGCCCCACGAGCAGUGGCGGAUGUACAUGUAUUCCAGGGUUCAUCCGAACCCUCUUCGUCAGAAAAUUAUACUAUUUUUACAUGGUAAAAAUUUUUUUAUGUAUAAAUAAUGGAGGCUGAAUCCCCUUGACUAGUCCAUAUAUGUACUACUGAACCCCCUCAUUGAAAAUUCUGGAUCCACCCCUGCCCACGAGGUAACCAGCUAUAGCUCCAUAAGUCACACAAAUAGGCCAUUCCUACGUGCAAAUACCAAUUUCCAUGAAUGAGGACAAACCAUUUACUAAAACAUUUUCCAACCCCAUGCAGAGGUCUGUAAAAUAGGAAAAUGUCAUCUUUUCAUGAAGCGCAUAACCUAAAUAUAAAAAGAAUCUUU